ACGAACGCUGGCGGCGCGCCUAACACAUGCAAGUCGAACGAGCGAGAGAGAGCUUGCUUUCUCGAGCGAGUGGCGAACGGGUGAGUAACGCGUGAGGAACCUGCCUCAAAGAGGGGGACAACAGUUGGAAACGACUGCUAAUACCGCAUAAGCCCACGACCCGGCAUCGGGUUGAGGGAAAAGGAGCAAUCCGCUUUGAGAUGGCCUCGCGUCCGAUUAGCUAGUUGGUGAGGUAACGGCCCACCAAGGCGACGAUCGGUAGCCGGACUGAGAGGUUGAACGGCCACAUUGGGACUGAGACACGGCCCAGACUCCUACGGGAGGCAGCAGUGGGGAAUAUUGCACAAUGGGGGAAACCCUGAUGCAGCGACGCCGCGUGGAGGAAGAAGGUCUUCGGAUUGUAAACUCCUGUUGUUGAGGAAGAUAAUGACGGUACUCAACAAGGAAGUGACGGCUAACUACGUGCCAGCCGCCGCAGUAA
rnacentral:rRNA from 1 species